AGAGUUUGAUCCUGGCUCAGGAUGAACGCUAGCGGCAGGCUUAACACAUGCAAGUCGAGGGGCAGCAUGUCCAGCAAUGGAUGAUGGCGACCGGCGGAAGGGUGCGUAACGCGUGAGCAACAUGCCCUAUACAGGGAGAUACACCAGGGAAACUUGGUCUAAUAUCCCAUAGCAUUCAUUGAAGGCAUCUUUAAUGAAUUAAAGCUUCGGUGGUAUAGGAUUGGCCCGCGUGACAUUAGCCAGAUGGUGAGGUAACGGCUCACCAUAGCAAUGAUGUCUAGGGGUUUUGAGAGGAAGGCCCCCCACACUGGGACUGAGACACGGCCCAGACUCCUACGGGAGGCAGCAGUGAGGAAUAUUGGACAAUGGAUGGAAAUCUGAUCCAGCCAUGCCGCGUGCAGGAAGACGGCCUUAUGGGUUGUAAACUGCUUUUAUACGGGAGCAAUAAGGGUUACGAGUAAUCCGAUGAGAGUACUGUAUGAAUAAGGAUCGGCUAACUCCGUGCCAGCAGCCGCGGUAAUACGGAGGAUCCGAGCGUUAUCCGGAAUUAUUGGGUUUAAAGGGUGCGUAGGCGGCCAUUUAAGUCAGCGGUGAAAUUUUGCAGCUUAACUGUAACAGUGCCGUUGAUACUGUUUGGCUAGGAUUUGGUUGUAGUGUGCGGAAUGUGUGGUGUAGCGGUGAAAUGCUUAGAUAUCACACAGAACACCGAUUGCGAAGGCAGCACACUAAGUCAUUAUUGACGCUGAGGCACGAAAGUGUGGGGAUCAAACAGGAUUAGAUACCCUGGUAGUCCACACUGU
rnacentral:rRNA from 1 species